AAGGAUUUAAGUUAAAAAAACUCACAACUUUCAAAGUUGUAAAUAAAGGAAAGAGCUUUAAGCCUUA
rnacentral:tRNA from 1 species